rnacentral:rRNA from 1 species
AAUCAACGCUGGCGGCGUGCCUCAGACAUGCAAGUCGAACGAGAAAGUUCCCUUCGGGGAGCGAGUAAAGUGGCGCACGGGUGAGUAACACGUAGGUAAUCUACCUUCGGGUGGGGAAUAACCCAGGGAAACUUGGGCUAACACCGCAUAAUGCAGCGGCACCACAUGGUGACAGUUGUUAAAGCGGGGGAGUUUAGGUACCUCGCGCCUGAAGAGGAGCCUGCGGCGGAUUAGCUUGUUGGAAGGUAACGGCUUACCAAGGCGACGAUCCGUAGCCGGCCUGAGAGGGCGGGUCGGGCCACACUGACACUGACAUACGGGUC